GCAGUUUUCCCAACUGAAGUUCCUGAUCUGCUGGUAGCUGGCAUUUAUGUCUGUCUGUCACGUCCUCCGUGAAAUAUUUGACUAUAUUUCAUGGACUAAUUGUUUUUUAUAUACAGAUCUCACCUACUUCCAACUACUUGCGUUUUUUUUUUUAACGUAUGUGGCACAUUACAUUUGAAUGUUAUUUGUUAAACUAUAAUAUGGUAAAGGUUUGCUUUACUGUCUUUAACCCCUUAAGGACACAUGACAUGUCAUGAUUCCCUUUUAUUCCAGAAGUUUGGUCCUUAAGGGGUUAAAGGUAGUGUGCAUAUACAAAUAAACAUUCUUGUUUCCGUAAGCAUUUUAAUCUCUAUCAAUUUGAUUUUUCCUUAAACUGUACUACGAAAGUGUUUAUUUUGUAUUGUUUAUUUCUACUUAAAAAAAAUUCAUUCAUGCUGUAUUGUUACCAUUUAAACAAUUUGGUUUCCAGCUUUCAAAUAUCGUUCUGCCGGGGUAGAUGAAUUAUGCAACCUAUAUGGAGGAGAGGAAAUCAUCGAGGGAGUCGAGAAGAAACGCUGGAGAACAUUGCCAAGUUGCAGGAAAAGCAGAAGGUAGCGUAUGCCAAGAGUGCAGAAAAAAUACAGGGAUUUACACUACCGUGUUGGCGAUGAGGUUCUCCUCUACAACAUGACUUCCUUGGCCCUUAUGUCAUCAAGGAGCUGUGUGGCAAUUUAGUUUAGUUGGCAUAUUAUGACUGUGCUAUCCUGAAGAACAAGAUUAACAUUAACCACAUAAAGCCAUACAAAAGGAGUAAAGAAGCAACAUGCCCCAGGCAGCAAAGUGAAAGGACGUCGGUGAUUCAACUUGCCCUGAAGAGACAGGAUAGCACUACGG